CGUGGCAACCUUUUCCUAUAAGCAGAAGGAAUGUAUGCUAAUACACUGAUUAAAAUGAGAGGAGUGAAUAUGUAAACUAGGAAAAUGCCACUAAGAGCCACUAAUAUUUAUCAUCAUUGUGAAGCACGAAGAAUGUGCUCUGCUUUGUGUGAGCUCCACUUUUCCACGGCUGCCGGCGCAGUAUGUUUAUCCACACCAGGCAUCUGCGGAAUGUGCUACACAUAGCAUUGCGAUGCUGUGACGUCACAACCAAGGGAACAUUCUCAGGUCCAUUAUUUUCAGCUCCUUAGGUGAUCGCUACGGUAUAUGUGUUUCACUGUUAAUCACAAGAACAUGUCUUACGUAGCAUAACGCUUCCCCAAAUUUACUCCAGAGAUUAUGGCAACGCACCCUUAACUAAAGGGACGUAUAUUCUUCAUUAUUUCCUUUAAUCCUUAACAUAUCACAGUUUCAGAGACUUUUUAUGACUGAGGGAAAUAUUUAAUUGAGGUGAUGUGAUACAAGAACAAGCAUGAAGAAACACACACUGGGGCUUUGUCAGCUUAGCAGUGCUCGCUCGAGGCUUGUGUUGAACUAAGAGAAUCUCAGCUGAAGGAGCGACCUCGGUUUAAUAAACAGUAAGAAGACCACAUAACCAGAGGAUUAAUCCCCAGAGGGCAAUCAUAUUUUUAGGAAGCACAUAGGAAAAAGAAUCGUUUAAAAAGCCACUGGAGCAUAUAUUUUUAAAUCUAAAAUUUUAAUCUGUAUAAUACAAUAGUUAUUAUUUUGGUUAUAAACAUAUUCUAUCUUUGACAGUCAAACUUUAAUAAAAGACAUACUCAGAUUUUUUAAAAUACUAUUUCAUCAUGCUUUAGG